rnacentral:lncRNA from 10 species
AGUGAGACUGUCUCUACAAAAAAUACAAAUUAACCGGGCUCGUGCCUGUAAUCCCAGUUUACGUAAUCCCAGAUUACAGGCUCGUGCCUGUAAUCCCAGCUAGGGUAGGCCGAGGUGGGAGGAUCUUUGAACCCGGGAGUUGGAGGCUGCAGUGAGCUACGAUCGUGCCACUGCACUCCAACCUGGGCGACAGAGCGAGACUCCAUCUCAAAAAACAAACAAAACAACAAAACUGAGCUAAAGACAAAUAGGAUUGACCUGGGGAGUGGGGUCUGAGGCAAUGGGAUGAGGCUGUCUAACAGGGCACCUCACAGGGAGAUGAGAACCGCUUGGCCACACAGAGGCAAAAUGCGGCCGAGGUCAGCACAGCCCUCUCGGGGUUAAGAACGGGGCGCCUGAGGGGUAUCCCGGUCCCCGACUAGAACCUCCUACGCGCUGGCAGCCAGAAACAGGAUGAAGGAGACUGGCGCGGACUGCGGGCUCUGCGGGCGGGGCGGGGCGGGGCGGGGCGGGGCGGGGCGGGGCGGGGGCCAGCCCUCUGGGGCAUGCCGGGGGGCGGAGUCUGCGCUGAGUGAAGAGGUGCCAGAAUCCGCGAAGAGGGUCGACGAAUGCGCUGCCGCGGAGGUGGGCCAAAUAAUCAUGGCAACAGGACUUUUAGAAGCACGUCCUCUGAAAGCCAUUUUCUGCCUGUGGUUGGAAAGGGACUGUGAGUCUUUCCUCAGGAAGUCAGUAGCCCUACCUGGUGAGGUGAUCAAGAGUUUGCUAGCACAAGAGAUGAAGCAACAAUGGCCAUGAGGGAUUCAAGGAUUAUGCGUCUCUGCACCCUACAAUACACCAACUGGCAGUUCCAUCAUUUGAAAGAAAAUCUUCAAGGUAAAGACAUUUACAAUGACACAAAAACCUUUCAAAGGCAUCAUGGUCCUAAAGGGCUUUCCCCAAGGGACAGCACAGUGUGUUCCAGGCCCUGACAAGAGGUUUAAGACCUGUGACACAGACUGAAGCUCUCCUGGCAUACUCUGAAGCUCUCCUGGCACCCUCCCCUUUAUGCUUCACAGGUGUUUCUCCUAAUAAAUUUCUUGUAUGUCUCAUCCCAUCUGGGAAUCUGCUUCUCAGAAGACUCAAACUAACAUAUCUGCCCACUAUGUAUCAGGCACUGUGCUAGGUGCUGGAGACCUAAAAAUGGAUAAAACAGACAAGAGCCCUUCAUUCAUGGUGCUUGCAUCAUAGUGGGGGUAAAUAUUCCAUAAGCAAGAGAAUAAAUAGAUAAGAUAAAUUUAAAAACUAGAGAAUGACUUGUUAUAAAUUGAUUGGUAAUCAGGGAAGGUCUUCUGAGGAGAUGACACUUAAGCUGACACCUGAAUGAGAAGAAGGGGCUGGUCAACUGAAGACCUAGAUGAGAGUAUUGUAGGCAGAGGGAAGAGCAAGGACCACAGGUUGAGAAAGAAACUAGUUUGACAUAUUUGAUGGGGGAAAAGCCAGUUUGAAGAAUAAUAAAAAAGGGAAUGAAUGGAAUAAACAAGGACAUUAAAGAACUAGAGAGGAGCCUGAUCAUCACAGUAAGGCAUUUAGAAUAGGUUAGGGAGAAGACCAUUCUCUAUCAGGGUAGAACUGAAAAGGCUACGUCUGCUGCUAAAUGCUGCUAUAAAAAGACAAGGGCUUUCAUAUACUACAGAUGCAAUCUUUUGGAUCCACUUAUAUUGAGCAGACUUCGUGGACCCUCCUAAGAAAGUAGGCACCACAAAAAUAUUACAUCUAUACAAAAUGCAGGGCUCCAAGCCAUAGAUGUAUAUAUCACAUUGUGUGUGUGUGUGUGUGUGUGUGUGUGUGUGUGUGUGUGUGUGUGUGUGUCUGUAAAGCCAGCCAGUUUGUAAGCUGAACAUGACUCCCACAUGCUUUCAGAGAGAAGAGAAAAGAGAGAGGACCGUGUACUGGAAUAAGCCCUAAGAACUUCUUGGAAGAAGGGGAAGUUAGCUGAUCAAAAUUAUGUUGCUUUCUAGAAAAGAAGUAAAAAGCCAGGCAGUUUCUUUUGCUAGAACUGUCUGGGUAGAUUUCCAUUCUAAGAAAAUUACAACAAUGUAUAGUUUUAAAUAGCUAGAAGGAGAAUACUGAAUGUUCCCAACACAAAGAAGUGAUAAAUAUUUGAAAUGACGGAUAUAUUCAUAGUCCUUAUCUGAUUGCUAUACACAAUAUGUAUUGAAACAUCAUUAUGUACCCCAUGAAUAUGUGCAAUUAUUAUAAUUCAAUUUAAAAAAUAAAAUUAAACAAAGAAAGCAAGGGGUCAACAGCAUCCAUUGUAAAUGUGCUACCUCUCCACCUGUCUCAUUUAUGAAGUUGGGGGAGCUCCUGAACAGAUAACGAAGUGCAAUGAAAUUUGGAGAAGAAAUCUAGUACCUAGGUCUAGAGAGCAAAUGUGCAACUUCUUUGGAGAAUAUGUUUCAAAUAAAGCUUCAAGAGCUGUUCCUAGUAGCAUAUGGCUGUUGCUCUUGGUGUGGAGGUUCAUGGAGUAAUGUUUCUUGAUCAGAGGAUCUUGCAGGUUAUUGUUCACUUCUACUGCUGCCUCUACCCAAUGUAUAGUUUGAGUCCUAAGAGGCUUGGCCUUUUUACUUUGCCUUCCACCCCAAUAGGGACAGCACAGUGAGAAACAGAUCUACAAUGGCUCCGCAGACCUUUCCUUUGGAGAGAUGCUGGGCAGCUGCACACACUAAGAAAGUUUCCUGAAAUAGAAUUGCAUUAUCUGAGGCCUGGAAAAUGUGUUGGAAAAGCUCACUUAGCUAUGGGAAAGCCGAUGAAAGACCUGUCUGGUUUCUGAGCAUUGUCUGGGGAGCUCAAAUUCUAUAAAUGGGCCCCCAAGGUAUCCAUCAUUUAGCCCUUGCCAAGGCUGGGUCAACAUGCUGGCAAAGAACUGUCUGAACAUUGAAAAAUCCUCCAACCUAUUAUCUCCUGAGAGAAAGCUAGUUAUUUGAAAUACAAGUUGGAUUUUAAAAUUUCUAUCAGCAUGUUUUUAAAUUAAUCUUUUGUUAAUGUAAACAUACAGAAAAUUACAUGCAUUAUAAGUGAACAGAUCAAUGAAUUUUCAAAAAGUGAAUAUAACUUUAUAGCCACAUCAGAUCAAGAAACAGACAUUACCAGCACCCCAGGAGUCUUUCUACUAUUUCCUUCCUGAAUCCAGAAUAGGGUAACUACUAUUCUGGAUUGUAAUACAGAUAAGUUAACUUUGCCUGUUUUGUAUUUUAUGCAAAUAAAGUCAUACCAUAUACAGUACUGAUCUCAAGGAAGAAGCUUUUAGCAUUUUAAUAUUAAAUACAAUAACAUGUAAUUUUUUGGUAGAUUUUUAAAAUCGAAUUUAGAAAGUUCCCUUCUAUUUCUAGUUUGUUACAAAUUUUCAUCAUGAAUAUAUGUUGAAUUUUGUCAAAUGCUUUAUUUUAUUGAGAUAAUCUGC